GUGAGAGAAACGACCAGCGGGAAGCGGACAGAAAGCAGCUUUUCACCUUCUGAUGGAACAAAUUGUUGCCAAUCUCCAGCCCGUUUUCUGUCAAUAUUUAGUUUUUCUCUUUAGUGAAUAUGCUGCAUUAGAGAGAAGCUAAGACAAUGAUCCUCUUUAAUGACCAAGGGGAGAUUUUCCAGGUGACUUAGACUGUUGUUUUCUUAAAGAUGGAAAUGUCAGGGACUUGCAGGGGGACAUGCACGACUCUUUCUUACCUGGCAAGAUGCCCGGUGGGCAUGUUUCACGUCACGUCCAGAAACGCACAGGAGCACAUGGUGUUUCUGGAAUUUUUUUCCCUGUAUGGAUAACUUAUUUAUUAAGUCCUAAAUAUUAAACUUAAAGGUGCAAAUUAAAGAAAUUCCGUAACCUGAAAAGCACAGCCACACUGAGAACACGAUAGUUAACCAUGAUCUCUCUACGUCCACGUAUUGUCUGGUGGCACAGGUCUUGGUGGCAUUUAACUUUCAUGUUUGUUUGGGGGAUGAGGGUGGGCCGGCGGGAGGGAGGGCAUGAAUUCACCCAGGACUGGCUACUGCAGCCACCGUGCAGCCGGCGCCUCCUCCGAGAGCUGCUCGCGCCCGGCUGUGGCUGCAGGGCUGAGCGAGGCUCCCGCUCGUUCCACACAGGCUUGUCUUCCGGCUGCAGUUGAUGGACGCAGGCUGGACAACCAGUCCAGGUGGGGACGGUCAGAGCGUCUUUCUCAGAAUUUGGCACUGACACACAGAGACCACAGUUCAUUCCUUAGGGAAUUUGAGCUGAAAAAUCAAAUGAAGCCAGAGGUAGAGUGAGCACAAGACUGAGAAAGAGAGAGAGUGAAGAAGAGAGAGACAGAGACAGAGAGAGACAGAGAGAAAGACAGAGAGACAGAGAGAUAGACAGACACAGAGACACAGAGAGAGACAGAGAGAAGGAGAGAGAGAUGGAGAGACAGAGAGACAGAGACAGAGGGAGAGAGAGAGCGAGCAAGUGGGAGCAAAUGGUCAGAGGAAAGAAAACGAGGAGGCAAUGGAGGACCUGGGGACCUGACUCGGGCCGUCCCGCCAUCACUGACCACAGGGUGGUGAAUGUUCCUCCAGCUUCCAGAUUAGGAAACAGGCUCCAGAAGGCAGGGGCGGGUCAGGGCGCAUGGGCAGUCUUGGUGUGACCAGCUCUCAGCCUGCUCCUGCAGGCACCGUCCGGCCUCAGGGACCUGCUGCUCCAUGAAAGGCCCCAUGGGAAGGGGGCUCCCCCGAAUGCUGGGCCAGUCCCUGAACCGAGAUCCCCGAGCCUCAGACCUGCCCCACGGCGCGUCCUCAGAGGGGCCUCCCGUCCCGCAUCCACCGUCCCCACGUUGUACCGUCUCCCGACCCGCCUCGCUUUCCUCCUGCACCGGCGCCUCUGCCUGGCCUGCACCAUCUGACUCUGAGAGCAGUCUCUUGGACCGUGGGUCUCAGGGGCCCCUGGGAUCUGCUCCACUGCCAAGAGCAGCGCCCGGAACUCAGGGUGCUGGGCAGAUCCCAAGACUGCACUCGGCUCCUGCCGCUGGCUUCCUUGCUCCCUCCCGGCUGGGAGGCCACCUGCCAGGCUGGAGUGGGGCCAUCAGCGGUCAUGCAGAGCCCAGGCAGCCCCGCCUCCCACUCCCAGAGAUCUGGGCAGCUGGUCGACGGCUCCAGGCUUCGGCCACCGAGUGGGGUAGGAACGUGUGUCUCCCGAGCCUGCGGUGGAGACAAGCUGUGACUCCUCGCAAAGCGCUCGGGGCUCCCGCAGAGACCAAGCAGCCAGUGACCACGAACUACGAAAACUCUGCUCAGUUCUGACUCCUAGACGACAACGCCAAGCACCAUCCGGAAGUCCCGGCCGCUGGUUGUCGGAAAGGCGACGCAGGAGCACAUCCACUGAGACGGACCGCAGACAGCAGCCCCCACAGCACGCGCCCUGCCGGGGGCUUCCAAAGGCAAGGGCUGGAGCACAGGGGCGUCACUCCCAAAACAACCGUUUAACAGACACAACUACGUCAGGAAUCGUUCAGAGUCUCUGGAAUCAUCCUGAGGUCACACAGCCACGGAGACACAUCCACUCAGGGAGUCAAUGAAAUCUCAGGAGGAACAGUGAGUCCGUGAUGUUUGAGCCAUGACCCGCCCCCCCGCGAGUCCAUCUCAGGGAAGCUGAUCAGGACUCCACCCUGCACAGACGAGGUCAAGAGAUGGAGUCCCCCACCGCAGCUUGGGGUGGGGGCCAGGCCAGCUGUGUUUCUCCUCUCCCAGCCUCGGGUGCAGAAAUUCUAUUCCUGGUGGGCACAGGAGGAGGGCCAGUCUCCUCCCCCACACCCCUGCUGAUAGGGUGGACAUCCCCCCAGGUGUGGCUGACGAAGAACACUGGGGCCCUCGAUCUCCUACCCCAGGGCGUUUGUAGAGCAGAGGUUCCGUGCCAGAGGACAAGCAGAAAGGACCAGGGGCUGCUACCGCCCACACCCUCAGAGUGCGCUCACGGCACGGGGACCACUCAGGAGAAGCAGGCCCUGCCCUGUGCCAGCUGCUGGGCAGGCGCCUAGGAGUCCUGCCAGGGAGAGGCAACUGUAAUGAUGAAGCUCCACGGCUCUGCCCAAGGGGACCAAUGUUAUUUGGAACAAAUUGUGGAGAUUUUCAUGCUCAAAGGUGUCUGAACCAAUGGAGACCUUGGUAGGGAGCACGUGAGAAGGUGCCGAUAGCUCGAAGGUACUAGAGGUGACAAGUCAACAGCAGCCCAGCCCGAAGUUUAACAGAGAGAACCAGGGGAAGAGCCGGCCCAGGUGGGCCUUCUCGGAUCACGGCCGCCCUGGGGUGGGAAGGUCGUCCCGAACACCAGGCUGCACCGCUCAGGAGCUCUCAGAGCAGGAUGAGGGGCAGGCUCUAAACCUUCCCGGAUUUUCCUCGCGCAGCCCCGUCCAGUGCAGCCCAGUGGCAUCAACACCUGAGCUACCGGAAGCAACUCAACACGCCAAAAGUAGAAGCCACGGAUCGAGAAUCUUACGUCCAGCAAAAGUAUCUUUCAAAGACAGGAGGGAAAUGAAGACAUUCCAGAUAAACCCAAGAGGAUCUGUUGCAGAGUCUCCUUACAAGACAGACUAGGAAGUUCCGCAGGAUGAAGGCAAGCGACACCAGACAGUCACUCAAGUCCACACGAUGGGACAAGGAGAGUGGUAAAGCUACGACGCAGAUGCUCCUCGACGUUGACACACCAUCACUCUGUCCUUGGACAAAGACUCGGCGAGACUCUGGGUCCUCGGGACAAAGCCCGGCCCCUCCCAGCAGGGUUGACCGAAGAUCCUUGGAGACAAGAGCAGGUGGACACACGGCGUGGCGCAGGCCUUCUGGGAGGAUUCUGGAGACCGCAUAGGAUCCUCGCAAGUUGCAAGAUGGGGAUUCAGCCUCAGGUUUUCUGUCCCUAAGCCGGCAUCUCACACCGUCGCCUCUGGAACAGGCAGCCAGCGUGGCCCUGCAGAGAGCGCGUCGCCGAGCAGUCAGGCACCACUGAGGUGGGGCAGCC
ensembl:lncRNA